UACGUAGGUGGCAAGCGUUGUCCGGAUUUACUGGGCGUAAAGAGCGCGCAGGCGGUCGUGCAAGUCGCGUGUGAAAGCCCCCGGCUCAACUGGGGAGGGUCACGCGAUACUGUUCGACUCGAAGGCAGGAGAGGGAAGCAGAAUUCCCGGUGUAGUGGUGAAAUGCGUAGAUAUCGGGAGGAAUACCAGUGGCGAAGGCGGCUUCCUGGCCUGUUCUUGACGCUGAGGCGCGAAAGCUAGGGGAGUAAACGGG
rnacentral:rRNA from 1 species